AUUGAACGCUGGCGGCAGGCUUAACACAUGCAAGUCGAGCGGAUGAAGGGAGCUUGCUCCUGGAUUCAGCGGCGGACGUGUGAGUUAUGCCUAGGAUUCUGCCUGGUGGUGGGGGAUAACGUCCGGAAACUGGCGCUAAUACCUCAUACGUCCUGAGGGAGAAACUGUGGGUUCUUCGUCCCUCACCCUAUCAUAUGACCCUAGGUCGGAUUAUCUAGUUGGUGGGGUAAAGGCCUACCAAGGCCGCGAUCCGUAACUGGUCUGAGAGGAUGAUCAGUCACACGGGAACGGAGACACGGUCCAGACUCCUAAGGGAGGCAGCAGUGGGGAAUAUUGGACAAUGGGCGAAAGCGUGAUCCAGACAUGCCGCGUGUGUGAAGAAGGUCUUCGGAUUGUAAAGCACUAUAAGUUGGGAGGAAGGGAAGUAAGUUAAUACCGUGCAGUUUUGACGGUACCAACAGAAGAAGCACCGGCUAACUUCGUG
rnacentral:rRNA from 1 species